rnacentral:rRNA from 1 species
GACCGCCUGGGGAGUACGGCCGCAAGGUUAAAACUCAAAUGAAUUGACGGGGGCCCGCACAAGCGGUGGAGCAUGUGGUUUAAUUCGAUGCAACGCGAAGAACCUUACCUGGUCUUGACAUAUCUAGAAUCCUGCAGAGAUGCGGGAGUGCCUUCGGGAAUUAGAAUACAGGUGCUGCAUGGCUGUCGUCAGCUCGUGUCGUGAGAUGUUGGGUUAAGUCCCGCAACGAGCGCAACCCUUUUCCUUAGUUACCAGCGGUUUGGCCGGGAACUCUAAGGAUACUGCCAGUGACAAACUGGAGGAAGGCGGGGACGACGUCAAGUCAUCAUGGCCCUUACGACCAGGGCUACACACGUGCUACAAUGGUAGGUACAGAGGGCAGCUACACAGCGAUGUGAUGCGAAUCUCAAAAAGCCUAUCGUAGUCCAGAUUGGAGUCUGCAACUCGACUCCAUGAAGUAGGAAUCGCUAGUAAUCGCGGAUCAGAAUGCCGCGGUGAAUACGUUCCCGGGCCUUGUACA